rnacentral:rRNA from 1 species
AACCUCCAACACGGGAACUCCGCACCGAAGGCCUCGAUUGCGCAAUUCAGCUGGCGGACCCCUCAUGCCGGCGUUCCAAUUUUGAGUUUACUUAACUGCCCCCGGGCGUGUUCGCCACCUCGUACACCAAAUUAAGCUACGUUGCGCUUCUUGGAAUGGACCAGAACUGUAGGUGUCUUGAAAAGUCUCUACUUAACCACGGAAGCCCUUGACACUCUGUCCACGACGUACCGACAGCAGUCGAGCACAACACUUUACAACCCAAUUCAGGGCGUUGCUCGCGUUGGGAAUAGGAAACAACGGUCGCCAGGCCGGCCCUUGAGUUUCCUCUGACGGUCACUAUUUGACCUCCUUCCACCCCUACUGCAGUUCAGUAGUACCGGGAAUGCUGGUCCCGAUGUGUGCACGAUGUUACCGCGUAUGUUUCUCUUCGCUGGAGC